AGAGGACGAUCAGCCACACUGGGACUGAGACACGACCCAAACUCCUACGGGAGGCAGCAGUGGGGAAUUUUGGACAAUGGGCGAAAGCCUGAUCCAGCCAUGCCGCGUGCAAGGAAGAAGGCCUUCGGGUUGUAAAGCGCUUUUGUACGGAAAGAAAAGGUUGGGCCUAAUAAGUGGAGCUCAUGACGGUACCGUAAGAAUAAGCACCGGCUAACUACGUGCCAGCAGCCGCGGUAAUACGUAGGGUGCGAGCGUUAAUCGGAAUUACUGGGCGUAAAGCGUGCGCAGGCGGUUAUGUAAGUCAGAUGUGAAAUCCCCGGGCUCAACCUGGGAACUGCAUUAGUGACUGCCUACCUUGAGAUGCGGCAGAGGGGGGUGGAAUUCCGCGUGUAGCAGUGAAAUGCGCUCUAUGUGGAGGAACACCGAUGGCGAAGGCAAUCCCCUGGGCNACACUGACGCUCA
rnacentral:rRNA from 1 species